ACAAAUUUCAGGCGCUAUGAACCGGCGCAAGGACUAAGCACGCCUCAUAAUGAGGCGGUUACCUCCUAUCUGCUCGGAGCAAUAACUGUAAGCCUCGAUUUACACUAUAUUGAUAAAGACGACAUUGUGUCCGCCUUCUAAGACGUAUUACGAGACGGUACGCAGGAGCUUCAUAUAUACGCAGCCAGAGAACUCAAUGCGGGCGGAAGCUGCCAAGAAUUCAGCUCGGAGUCGAGCGAGAAGAAAGAGGCUGCUGGAAUCGAGGCAGAGCGUGCUAGCUGAUGAGGAAGUGGAACUCUGGAAGUCCGCCACCGUCGACCUCAUGUCUGACGAGGAAGAUGGCGUCGUUGGCGGGGUCUCUGG